rnacentral:rRNA from 1 species
UCAUAUGCUUGUCUAAAAGACUAAGCCAUGCAUGUCUAAGUAUAAACCACUAUACGGUGAAACUGCGGAUGGCUCAUUAAACCAGUUAUAGUUUAUUUGAUGGUCUCAAUUAUUUGUACAUGGAUAACCGUGGCAAUUCUAGAGCUAAUACAUGCAAAAGGACCUGACUCUCUCAAGGGAAGGGUCGUAUUUAUUAGGUAGAGAACCAACACGAGGGUCAAACCUCGUAGUUAUGGUGAUUCAUGAUAACUGCAUUAUUUUCUAUAUAAUCGUGCGGAUCGCAUGGCCUUGCGCCGGCGACGCAUCAUUCAAAUUUCUGCCCUAUCAACUUUCGAUGGUAGGGUCGUGGCCUACCAUGGUGAUCACGGGUAACGGAGAAUUGGGGUUCGAUUCCGGAGACGGAGCCUGAGAGAUGGCUACGACUUCUAAGGAAGGCAGCAGGCGCGCAAAUUACCCAAUCCCAAUACGGGGAGGUAGUGACAAUAAAUACCAAUACGGGACAACAUAAUGUCUUGUAAUUAAUGGCGCAGUGUAAACGACUCAGCGAGAAGCAAUUAGAGGGCAAGUCUGGUGCCAGCAGCCGCGGUAAUUCCAGCUCUAAUAGCAUAUAUUAAAGUUGUUGCAGUUAAAAAGCUCGUAGUUGGACUUUGAGGAUGUUAUUUUUAGUUUUAUAUACCGGCGUGAAGCCGAGUAUGUGAAACUACUCCUCUUUCUUUUUAGGAGUGUUCACUAUCUUCGUUCACUCGUAGAUAGCAUCAGAACUUCCUAUCAUUUACCUUGAGAAAACCAGAGUGUUCAAAGCAGGUGAGGUUUCACUGACCUUUCCACCGUUGAAUGCUACAGCAUGGGAUAAUGAAACAGGACCUUAAUCCAGUCUUCGUUGGUCUCUCGGGGUUGGGGUAAUGAUUGAUAGGAGCGGUCGUGGGCGUCGGGAUUGCGUUGUCAGAGGUGAAAUUCUUGGAUUCACGCAAGACCAACUACUGCGAAAGCGUUCGCCAAGGACGUUUUCUUUAAUCAAGAACGAAAGUUAGGGAUCGAAGACGAUCAGAUACCGUCGUAGUCUUAACCAUAACGAUGCCGACCAGGGAUUGGGAGACGCACUAAUUUUUCAAAUGGCUCCCCCAGCACCUUGUGAGAAAUCAUUCAGUCUUUGGGUUCCGGGGGGAGUAUGGUCGCAAGGCUGAAACUUAAAGGAAUUGACGGAAGGGCACCACCAGGAGUGGAGCCUGCGGCUUAAUUUGACUCAACACGGGGAAACUUACCAGGUCAGGACACUGGGAGGAUGGACAGAUUGAGAGCUCUUUCUUGAUUCAGUGAGUGGUGGUGCAUGGCCGUUCUUAGUUGGUGGAGUGAUUUGUCUGGUUAAUUCCGAUAACGAACGAGACCUCAUCCUGCUAAAUACGUUGAUUUGAUAUUGGCUAAAUACCAAUAUUGAAUAUUACUAACUUCUUAGAGGGACAAUUCGCCUCGAGCGGGUGGAAGUGAGGCAAUAACAGGUCUGUGAUGCCCUUCAGAUGUCCUGGGCCGCACGCGCGCUACACUGACGAAAUCAAUGGGUAACUAUUUCCAAAAAGCCUGACUCGAAGGAGUUGGGGAAACCUUUGAAACUUCGUCGUGAUGGGGAUAGAUCAUUGUAAUUAUUGGUCUUCAACGAGGAAUUCCUAGUAAGCGUAAGUCAUCAGCUUGCGCUGAUUACGUCCCUGCCCUUUGUACACACCGCCCGUCGCUCCUACCGAUUGGAUGGUCCGGUGAGAUCUUUGGAUCGGCGGGGCUUGUCUCUGCCGAGAAGUUGAUCAAACCUUACUAUCUAGAGGAAGG